UGAUGAUGAUGAUGAUGAUGAUGAUGAUGAUGACGAUGACGAUGAUGAUGAUGACGACGACGAUUAGGUUAUGAACAUCAUGAUCAUUAUCAGCAUCAUCAUUAUUAUCAUCAUCAUCAUCGUCGUCG
rnacentral:pre_miRNA from 1 species